rnacentral:rRNA from 1 species
ACGAACGCUGGCGGCGUGCUUAACCCAUGCAAGUCGAACGGAAAGGCCCUGCUUUUGUGGGGUGCUCGAGUGGCGAACGGGUGAGUAACACGUGAGUAACCUGCCCUUGACUUUGGGAUAACUUCAGGAAACUGGGGCUAAUACCGGAUAGGUGCUCCUGCUGCAUGGUGGGGGUUGGAAAGUUUCGGCGGUUGGGGAUGGACUCGCGGCUUAUCAGCUUGUUGGUGGGGUAGUGGCUUACCAAGGCUUUGACGGGUAGCCGGCCUGAGAGGGUGACCGGCCACAUUGGGACUGAGAUACGGCCCAGACUCCUACGGGAGGCAGCAGUGGGGAAUAUUGCACAAUGGGCGGAAGCCUGAUGCAGCAACGCCGCGUGCGGGAUGACGGCCUUCGGGUUGUAAACCGCUUUCGCCUGUGACGAAGCGUGAGUGACGGUAAUGGGUAAAGAAGCACCGGCUAACUACGUG